AGACGUCAUCCCCACCUUCCACCUUUCCAUCAAGUUCCCCACCGAUCUUGGGGUUAGCAUAGUGAGGGGAGAGCAGAUCGUGGCCAGCGAAUGUUCUGUUGCCUCACUUAAAGAAGUCAAGCUAAAGGAGGCUAUGAUCAUUGAAGGACCUGACGUCAGAGACGAGGACGAGCUGGUUAGGGGGGAACCAGUGGAAGAACUUGUCGAGGUCCUCAUCGAUCCCACCAACCCAUCAAAAACUGCCAAGAUCGGCAGCCAACUUUCCGCCCAGGCUAAGGCCGACCUUACUGCCUUCCUAAUCGAACAUAACGAUGUAUUUGCCUAGACCCACUCAGACAUGCCGGGUAUCUAAUCCUGUUA
rnacentral:misc_RNA from 1 species